rnacentral:rRNA from 1 species
AUUGAACGCUGGCGGCAGGCUUAACACAUGCAAGUCGAACGAUGAAACUCUAGCUUGCUAGAGAAGAUUAGUGGCGGACGGGUGAGUAACAUUUAGGAAUCUGCCUAGUAGUGGGGGAUAGCUCGGGGAAACUCGAAUUAAUACCGCAUACGACCUACGGGUGAAAGGGGGCGCAAGCUCUUGCUAUUAGAUGAGCCUAAAUCAGAUUAGCUAGUUGGUGGGGUAAAGGCCCACCAAGGCGACGAUCUGUAACUGGUCUGAGAGGAUGAUCAGUCACACCGGAACUGAGACACGGUCCGGACUCCUACGGGAGGCAGCAGUGGGGAAUAUUGGACAAUGGGGGCAACCCUGAUCCAGCCAUGCCGCGUGUGUGAAGAAGGCCUUUUGGUUGUAAAGCACUUUAAGCAGGGAGGAGAGGCUAAUGGUUAAUACCCAUUAGAUUAGACGUUACCUGCAGAAUAAGCACCGGCUAACUCUGUGCCAGCAGCCGCGGUAAUACAGAGGGUGCGAGCGUUAAUCGGAAUUACUGGGCGUAAAGCGAGUGUAGGUGGCUCAUUAAGUCACAUGUGAAAUCCCCGGGCUUAACCUGGGAACUGCAUGUGAUACUGGUGGUGCUAGAAUAUGUGAGAGGGAAGUAGAAUUCCAGGUGUAGCGGUGAAAUGCGUAGAGAUCUGGAGGAAUACCGAUGGCGAAGGCAGCUUCCUGGCAUAAUAUUGACACUGAGAUUCGAAAGCGUGGGUAGCAAACAGGAUUAGAUACCCUGGUAGCCCACGCCGUAAACGAUGUCUACUAGCCGUUGGGGUCCUUGAGACUUUAGUGGCGCAGUUAACGCGAUAAGUAGACCGCCUGGGGAGUACGGCCGCAAGGUUAAAACUCAAAUAAAUUGACGGGGGCCCGCACAAGCGGUGGAGCAUGUGGUUUAAUUCGAUGCAACGCGAAGAACCUUACCUGGUCUUGACAUAGUGAGAAUCCUGCAGAGAUGCGGGAGUGCCUUCGGGAAUUCACAUACAGGUGCUGCAUGGCUGUCGUCAGCUCGUGUCGUGAGAUGUUGGGUUAAGUCCCGCAACGAGCGCAACCCUUUUCCUUAUUUGCCAGCGGGUUAAGCCGGGAACUUUAAGGAUACUGCCAGUGACAAACUGGAGGAAGGCGGGGACGACGUCAAGUCAUCAUGGCCCUUACGACCAGGGCUACACACGUGCUACAAUGGUAGGUACAGAGGGUUGCUACACAGCGAUGUGAUGCUAAUCUCAAAAAGCCUAUCGUAGUCCGGAUUGGAGUCUGCAACUCGACUCCAUGAAGUCGGAAUCGCUAGUAAUCGCAGAUCAGAAUGCUGCGGUGAAUACGUUCCCGGGCCU